CCUAUAGACCUAAGUAUUCUAAGAGCAACAGAUCCCAUCUGAUUUUGGAAGCUAAAUGGAGUCAGCCCUGAGUAAUAUUUGGACAGGAGACUACCAGUGAAUACCAGUUAAGUGUAUAUGC
rnacentral:rRNA from 1 species